GAUCAUAGCUCAGGAUGAACGCUGGCGGCGUGCCUAACACAUGCAAGUCGAGCGAAGCAUUUUAAAGGAAGUUUUCGGAUGGAAUUUGGAAUGACUGAGCGGCGGACGGGUGAGUAACGCGUGGGUAACCUGCCUCAUACAGGGGGAGUAACAGUUAGAAAUGACUGCUAAUACCGCAUAAGCACACAGUACCGCAUGGUACAGUGUGAAAACUACCGGUGGUAUGAGAUGGACCCGCGU
rnacentral:rRNA from 1 species